CAAAUAAUUGAAUCUGUCAAAAUGACAAUAUCCUGCGGCAAAUAUCGUAAUUAGGCUUUUACGCAAGAACACGGGAUGGUUGGUUUCAUCCGUAGCAUUUAUACAUAUAUGUGGUAUUUUCCACUUAAGAUGCAUCAAUUCACGUAGGUGCACUUUUUGUUACACCUGCAUUACUAAUAAACCCAAGGUGGUAAGAAAAAAGCAUAGCCUACACUACCUCGGUGGCUGGAGUUAAUCGUGGUGUUUUAAAAAUCGACAUUUUCUUUGAAUUUGAACACGGAAACUUUGCCUUUGCGUAUAUUCUUACAAUAGUUUACUAACGUGUAAGUUUCAACCACAAGAAAAACAACACGACUUAUGACCAGUGUAAGUAACUCAUGAGAUUUCCUUUUUUAUGGGCUUAGAGCAGAUUGAACGACCUCUAAUACUUCGAACCUGGGGUGCCAAAGAGCCCUUUCUAAUUUAGUCGUGUAUAUUUUGAAUAUUUAUCCAUCCAGAAUCGGGUAUUUUCACCCCCUACAAAUGCCCUCAAAUUAGGGUUUUUAAAUUUUUACAUAUUUUUCGAUAAUUUUACCUCUCUGACCACUUGAGCAUUGUAUUGUAUGUAUAAAAUUACAAAAACUGUAUAGAAUAUAACUUGUUAUGGGAGGAUAUAGCACCAUGUUUGUUUUUAAUGCUAAAUGAUGUUGCCGUCAUAGUCUUUCAUGGGAACCCGAGGAUCUAAUGUAAGUAAAAUUUAUGCUGUGUCUUAAUGCUGAAUGUGCUUGCCUUGUCUCUGAUUUCGAUUUUAUUCAAUUAAAAUAAACUACAGCUAUUUUCAGUGUAACUUUUGUCUUCAAUGUGAAGCAAGCACUUCUUAACCUCGGUUUGUUUCUGAAAUCGAUCAACACAGCAUUAGGUUCUCUCUCCCUCUUCAACCAAUUUCAAAAUAUUUGUUUCGGCGCACAAUGAGAUGUCGACCUAUCCCUCUCUCGAAGAAAUACUCCACAUUGGGCUAGCGCCUUUAGACCCUGAUUGAGCUAGAAAUUGACCGACGUUCAGCAUUUAAAAAUUGUUUUCCUCAUUUUUGACAGUGACUUUCUAUAACUCAAAAUUUGUCAUGCAUGUUUAACAAGUUGAGGUUUUUAGCGGCAAGACAUUAUUAGCUAUUGAGCAAAUCCAG
rnacentral:lncRNA from 1 species